rnacentral:rRNA from 1 species
UACGUAGGGUGCAAGCGUUGUCCGGAAUUAUUGGGCGUAAAGAGCUCGUAGGCGGUCUGUCGCGUCUGCUGUGAAAACUCAGGGCUUAACCCUGAGCUUGCAGUGGGUACGGGCAGACUAGAGUGCGGCAGGGGAGACUGGAAUUCCUGGUGUAGCGGUGAAAUGCGCAGAUAUCAGGAGGAACACCGGUGGCGAAGGCGGGUCUCUGGGCCGUAACUGACGCUGAGGAGCGAAAGCAUGGGGAGCGAACAGG